rnacentral:sRNA from 22 species
UUUUAGCCCCGAUAGCAGCGGAAAUCCUUCUGCGCCGGUGUUCGGCACAAAAGAUUGCAGCGGAUAGCAGGAAAAAGC